UACGUAGGGGGCGAGCGUUGUCCGGAAUUACUGGGCGUAAAGGGUGCGUAGGCGGUUGCUUAAGUCAGGUGUGAAAUCCCCGGGCUCAACCUGGGUAUUGCAUUUGAAACUGGGCGGCUAGAGUGCAGGAGAGGGAAGCGGAAUUCCUAGUGUAGCGGUGAAAUGCGUAGAUAUUAGGAGGAACACCGGUGGCGAAGGCGGCUUUCUGGACUGCAACUGACGCUGAGGCACGAAAGCGUGGGGAGCAAACAGG
rnacentral:rRNA from 1 species